rnacentral:rRNA from 1 species
GAUGAACGCUGGCGGCGUGCCUAAUACAUGCAAGUCGAGCGAACAGACGAGGAGCUUGCUCCUCUGACGUUAGCGGCGGACGGGUGAGUAACACGUGGAUAACCUACCUAUAAGACUGGGAUAACUUCGGGAAACCGGAGCUAAUACCGGAUAAUAUAUUGAACCGCAUGGUUCAAUAGUUAAAGACGGUUUUGCUGUCACUUAUAGAUGGAUCCGCGCCGCAUUAGCUAGUUGGUAAGGUAACGGCUUACCAAGGCAACGAUGCGUAGCCGACCUGAGAGGGUGAUCGGCCACACUGGAACUGAGACACGGUCCAGACUCCUACGGGAGGCAGCAGUAGGGAAUCUUCCGCAAUGGGCGAAAGCUUGACGGAGCAACGCCGCGUGAGUGAUGAAGGUCUUCGGAUCGUAAAACUCUGUUAUUAGGGAAGAACAAAUGUGUAAGUAACUAUGCACGUCUUGACGGUACCUAAUCAGAAAGCAACGGCUAACUACGUG